ensembl:lncRNA
CCAACUCCAUGGCCAAUGGGAGUCUCUGGGUGACGGUAAAUUUUCCUUGUGCUCCAUCCAUAAGCUGCACGUUUGAAGAUGAUGAUUAUGUGGAAGGGAAUGAGAUGGGAUGCUACUGUCCCCUAACUGAGUUUAAAAGUCUCUGGGCCACAGUCACGCUAUACAACGAACAGAACCUCUCAGACAGACAGGCGUACACCGCUGAAGUGAUGCUUGAAAACCCAUUCGAGGUGGAAUUUGGUUUUCUGACACCAGGGCAAGUGUACUGUGCUGUGGCCAACUUCACAGCUGAGGGUGUACUGACCUCUUCUCCCCCGAGCCUCCCGCAGUGUGUUUACAUACCAGCAAAGCUCGGCUUUACUUCGAGACCUGGAACUUCAGAAUGAGACUUUCAUUGACUCCAGUAAGGUUGCACCACACAACAAGA